rnacentral:lncRNA from 1 species
GUAAACAACCCAAAGAAAAGAGGUAAAAGAUGGGGCUUUUUAAUCUCCUAGUUCCCAGAGGAAUGGGUAUUGAAGGCUGGACUGAAGCUGCUAUGAAAGCACACCUGGCAGAGCCCCAGACACCCAAGAUUUCACCACUGUCCCUGGUAUGUUGGCCUGCCUCACUUCUCCCCCUCUUCUGACUACGCCAACCUGUCUACCUUGUCUGAGAGACUUCCACCGUGUUUCUGGGAACUGCUGGCAACUGAGAAGUUCCUCCAGGCCUCUGAUCUCCCUCAGUGCAAUCCAGCCACAGAAAGGACCUUGUUCCUGCUUAUGUCUUAAUGGACAGCCCACCCACCAGUCUGCCUGCUGGGAGAAGAGCCAGCCAUGCUGGCACGUUCCCUUCAUUCUUCCUCCCCACCUUCCUCUCAAUGCCAAUCCAGCUGAAGCUGGAGCGCUACCUGAACUUGGAAAGGCCAAGACCAUUCUAUGGUGAAGCAGCAAGGAUUUUGAGCUUUUGGAAUAUUCUAUAGUAUGUUUUUGCCAAGUCACAUCCCAUAUUUGUGGUCCUCAUUUGUCUGUUCUUUCCCUUGAAUUUCAGUUUCAUACAGUGUCCCCAUAGAUCAGAGUGACUGAGACACCACACACACUUGCACAAUAAUAUAUAUAGGCAAACCUCAAGAGAUUCACAG